rnacentral:rRNA from 1 species
GUACACUCCUACGGGAGGCAGCAGUGGGGAAUAUUGGACAAUGGGCGCAAGCCUGAUCCAGCCAUGCCGCGUGAGUGAUGAAGGCCCUAGGGUUGUAAAGCUCUUUCACCGGUGAAGAUAAUGACGGUAACCGGAGAAGAAGCCCCGGCUAACUUCGUGCCAGCAGCCGCGGUAAUACGAAGGGGGCUAGCGUUGUUCGGAUUUACUGGGCGUAAAGCGCACGUAGGCGGACUAUUAAGUCAGGGGUGAAAUCCCGGGGCUCAACCCCGGAACUGCCUUUGAUACUGGUAGUCUUGAGUUCGAGAGAGGUGAGUGGAAUUCCGAGUGUAGAGGUGAAAGUCGUAGAUAUUCGGAGGAACACCAGUGGCGAAGGCGGCUCACUGGCUCGAUACUGACGCUGAGGUGCGAAAGCGUGGGGAGCAAACAGGAUUAGAAACCCUAGUAGUCCC